GACGAACUGCGCAAACGUUAUUCGGAAUCACUGGGCUUAAAGAGUUCGUAGGCGGCGUGGAAGGUCGGGUGUGAAAUCCCUCGGCUCAACCGAGGAACUGCGCCCGAAACCACUAUGCUUGAGGGAGACAGGGGUGAGCGGAACUAAUGGUGGAGCGGUGAAAUGCACUGAUAUCAUUAGGAACACCGGUGGCGAAAGCGGCUCACUGGGUCUCUACUGACGCUGAGGAACGAAAGCUAGGGUAGCGAAC
rnacentral:rRNA from 1 species